ACUUCUUCCCGUAAGCAAAGCUGAAAGGCAGAGUCUCAACGUUUCCAAAUCUUCCUGCUUGAGAUUGCUUCGUUAUUGUCCAUGGAAGAACCGCCAUCUUCUUCUUCGACGACCGCACUGCAUCCUCUUUCUUACUGGGAUUGCCUCCACCUGUUUAUUCUCCGUCCGUUUCUCGCCAUCUCCUUCGUCUUCUGCUUCAUUCUUCUCGGUUGGGUUUUGGCUUGGAAGCUAGUUCUGGUUCAUGUUCCUCUGGUUCAGGAGAUCUUCGGCCUCCGGAAGAAGACCGUCAAUCCGAAGCCUCCGACUCGCCAUCGGUUUUCCAAGUUCUACAGUAGCAUGAAUCGUGAUCCCCAACACUCUUGACUCUAAAGAGCCGAUUUGAGAUCGUUCAUCCAGAUAGAUCGAGCAACUCUUGGAUGAGGGGGGCAAUCGAGCUUGUAAGGUCUCACUAUGUUUGACAAGCAUGAGGAACCUCAGAAGUGUGUGCUGGAGACAUGCUGAUAUUCCACACCCAAUCUUUAAUGGUGUCAAUAUGUCCGGAAGGUCGAAGAUCAUCCAGUUCGAAGAUUAGUAGUCUUGAUACAUUAGAGGUGUAACCAUUCAUUCUGUGCGUAUUCAGCUCCAUCUCGUCAGUGUUUUUACUCAUUUAGUGCGUAUCCUGUUCCAUCUCUUAUCCAGUCCAAAUUACACGGAGUUUAUGUGCGAGCAGUAUGGCCAGCGUUUUUAAGCAGUAGGCAUGUUGAAUGAACAAAUUUUUCAGCUUCGACGCCAUAGCUAGUACCUGGUGCUUGUCUUGCUACAAUUUGAUUGGUACCUUCCGAGCCAUAAAUGCUCAAAAUCGCAAAAGGUAAAGGUGCUUAGCUGGAAUCUCAUUUUAAAUGCUAUUUUGGUUCAA